UACGUAGGGUGCGAGCGUUAAUCGGAUUUACUGGGCGUAAAGCGAGCGCAGGUGGUUUAUUAAGUCUGGUGUAAAAGGCAGUGGCUCAACCAUUGUAUGCAUUGGAAACUGGUAGACUUGAGUGCAGGAGAGGAGAGUGGAAUUCCAUGUGUAGCGGUGAAAUGCGUAGAUAUAUGGAGGAACACCGGUGGCGAAAGCGGCUCUCUGGCCUGUAACUGACACUGAGGCUCGAAAGCGUGGGUAGCAAACAGG
rnacentral:rRNA from 1 species